rnacentral:rRNA from 1 species
UACGUAGGGUGCAAGCGUUAAUCGGAAUUACUGGGCGUAAAGCGUGCGCAGGCGGUGAUGUAAGACAGAUGUGAAAUCCCCGGGCUCAACCUGGGAACUGCAUUUGUGACUGCAUCGCUGGAGUACGGCAGAGGGGGAUGGAAUUCCGCGUGUAGCAGUGAAAUGCGUAGAUAUGCGGAGGAACACCGAUGGCGAAGGCAAUCCCCUGGGCCUGUACUGACGCUCAUGCACGAAAGCUGGGGGAGCAAACAGG